CCCUUAGAUGCUCUGGGCCGCACGCGCGCUACACUGGUCGAUGCAACGAGUUUCUUUCCUUGGCCGACAGGCCUGGGCAAUCUUUGAACAUCGAUCGUGAUCGGGAUAGAUUCUUGUAAUUUUUGAUCUUAAACGAGGAAUUCCUAGUAAACGCAAGUCAUCAGCUUGCAUUGAUUACGUCCCUGCCCUUUGUACACACCGCCCGUCGCUCCUACCGAUUGAAUGAUCCGAUGAAUACCAUGGAUUGAGAGUACGAAUAGGUUCGCUUAUUUCUGCUGCUCGAGAAGUGGAGUAAAUCUUAUCAUUUAGAGGAAGGAGAAGUCGUAACA
rnacentral:rRNA from 1 species